GAUGAACGCUGGCGGCGUGCCUAAUACAUGCAAGUCGAGCGAACGGACGAGAAGCUUGCUUUUCUGAUGUUAGCGGCGGACGGGUGAGUAACACGUGGAUAACCUACCUAUAAGACUGGGAUAACUUCGGGAAACCGGAGCUAAUACCGGAUAAUAUUUUGAACCGCAUGGUUCAAAAGUGAAAGACGGUCUUGCUGUCACUUAUAGAUGGAUCCGCGCUGCAUUAGCUAGUUGGUAAGGUAACGGCUUACCAAGGCAACGAUGCAUAGCCGACCUGAGAGGGGGAUCGGCCCAACUGGAACUGAGACACGGUCCAGACUCCUACGGGAGGCAGCAGUAGGGAAUCUUCCGCAAUGGGCGAAAGCCUGACGGAGCAACGCCGCGUGAGUGAUGAAGGUCUUCGGAUCGUAAAACUCUGUUAUUAGGGAAGAACAUAUGUGUAAGUAACUGUGCACAUCUUGACGGUACCUAAUCAGAAAGCCACGGCUAACUACGUG
rnacentral:rRNA from 1 species